GUUAAAACUGGCUUCUAGAGUAAAUAUUCCCUUCCCCCCUACAAUGUGGUCAGCUGCUGUUUACUAUGUAAAUUCCUCACAUCCUGCUAGCCUCCCCCCCCCCUUCAAAUCAAUAAAACCUUGUGUAACCAAAGUUCCUGUGAUAACUCCCUUUACUAACUCCUCCCCCACUACCUUUGUGCCAGUUAACAGCUAUAUGCCACGUAUAGCUAAAUGGAGGAUCAGUGGAAACUACUCACUCCCCCUCCCAUCGUGUAUCCAGAAGUCUGUAAUGAUGACACUACAUCCUGUAGGGGGGUUUAAACAAGAGGCCCCUUUCUCUGUUAACCAAUUGGUGAAUGUAUACUGUAUGUUUAAACUGUGACGUAUUUUUGCUUUAAGAAGGAGCCCCCACUCCGGGGAAUAAAGCAUUCCUGGGUUUUUCACUGAUCAGAAACUUUGUCUCCGGUGUGAAUUACUUCUAGGGAAAGCGUGCACGCAUUAACUAAUCAAUUUGGAAGGUGUAGAUAGACAAAUAAUCAAAGUUUUCUUUGAUCCAAAACAAUUUGGUGGAGAAUGCGGGCAUGUGAGGGUUGUUGUUAUUCUGCUCGAAGCCGUAAAAUCCCAGGACCGGAGAGGAGACCCCCAGAGAUUGGAAAAAAAAAAGAGCCUGAUCACCUCUGCAUAUGGUAAAUGAGUAACUUACCUAUAUUUUCCAUUCUUUGAAAUUGGUCUGCACUCUGGGCCUUCACUCGGCUUCCUGUGGUUAACGUCAGACAGGUAUAUAGUAUGCCCACAUGUCCCCUUUUAUAUAGAACCUGUCACUUGUCUAUCUACAACCUAAGUGCUGAGUGUGAGUUUUAUGUGUGAAAGUGGCUGCUUGAGAAUCUGUUUUACUACUUGCUUAAUACUGUUAUAUAAUGCUGCCAAGUGUGGUUAAGCGCUGGCAUAUUUAGCCAAGUUCGGG